CUGGAUAUAAAGUUUCUAAAAUCCUGCACAUAGUGUAUAUUCUUGCAAUGCAUACAGAAUAUACCCUUCUGGAAAUUAUUUCACUUUGGCUACAAAGCCCAACAAAAAGGAUGGCCAAGGUGAUGUCAGUAUGAUUCAGCUAGGAUAUAUGAAACGUUGGAUAGUAAUAUACCGUAAACCUCUGAAUAUAACCCCCUGGCCCCUCCCUCCCGGUAUAAGCCCCCUGUGUAUAAGCCCACUAACACUCAGGCCAUUCCGAAUGUAAGCCCCUCCAUGUCUAUAAAGCCUGUUAGUUAAUUAGCACAGAGACAGCGAUUCCAACAGCUCAGACGAGUGACAAUAUAAAUUACAGAAGAUUACAGUAUUGUAAUGUAUAGAUUAUACACUGUAUGUUUGUCCUGGGUACAAGGUUGUGUGUUUGUAUUACUUUUUGUUUACGGUAUAGUUUACACAUACAAUAAAUAUUAUUACUAUUAAAUUAAACAUCAAAUCCUGUCACUACAUAAACCCCUCCCCCAUAAUUAUUAAGCCCUCCUGUGUGUAGGCUCAUGCAUACAACCUCGUUCCCAGGCUCUUUGCUCUUGGGAAGCAAAGACCCUGGUCGGAGCUGGUCACGUGAACCCCCAGAUUUUGGGGGUAAAUUGAAUUUGAUCUCAGGGAGGGGUAGUAGAGUAGUCUGUUUGUUGCGUUUAGAAAAUUGCAACUUUAUGUGUUAUAAUUUUGGGUGAUAAAAAUGUAAUUUGCAGCAAGAGAUUGUGAAAGGAACUGUUCUAAAUUCGUACCGAUCAUGACAAGACUUCCUGCUGACUUCCUGCGUUACAUUUCAAGCGAGAAGCUGGAUCAUAUUUCACUUGCAAGGAAAACACUCCACACGCGCCUGGCUUGCAAAGUUGAGCACGUAUCGCCGU